rnacentral:misc_RNA from 1 species
UUACCUAGAAAAACACUGCAG